CUGACCCUCUGAUGUCACGUGGACUACUUUGAUGAUGUUUUUAUUACCUUUCUGGACAUGGACAGUAUACCUUACAUAGAUUUUCAAUGGAGGGACCGAGAGCUCUCGGACUAAAUCUAAAAUAUCUUAAACUGUGUUCCGAAGAUGAACGGAGGUCUUAUUGAGUUUGGAACGACAUGAGGUCAAGAAGCAGGUGAUCCGAGUGCAGGUGAAAUCUGCUGAGAAUGUGGAUGAAGCUGAACUGAAGGAGCUCGUCUUAAACAAGUUAAAUCAGACGCUGAGCGAUCAGGACGUCACACUGACAUGGAGGACACAACCCAACGGGAAAGUCUUCCAGAAGAACAGGACUAUACUGAAA